rnacentral:other from 1 species
GGAUCCCUGGUGUAUUCGCCAGGCAGACAGUCCUCGAGCCGAUAUCUGUAAUACCGGGGGUUGCCAGCAACUGCUGUUGUGCAGGUCCGGUACAAACCGGAAAGCCUGAAGCGGUACGGCCACCACCACCUUGAACCAUCGGGUUCAAGGGCAGCACUGCCAGCGGUAUACCGGGAAUCCA